rnacentral:rRNA from 1 species
UACGAAGGGGGCUAGCGUUGCUCGGAAUCACUGGGCGUAAAGGGUGCGUAGGCGGGUCUUUAAGUCAGGGGUGAAAUCCUGGAGCUCAACUCCAGAACUGCCUUUGAUACUGAAGAUCUUGAGUUCGGGAGAGGUGAGUGGAACUGCGAGUGUAGAGGUGAAAUUCGUAGAUAUUCGCAAGAACACCAGUGGCGAAAGCGGCUCACUGGCCCGAUACUGACGCUGAGGCGCGAAAGCUAGGGGAGCAAACAGGG